CAGGAAAUGGAACAAGAGGGAGAGAGGGAGAUGGACACGGAAUGGCUUCAUAUAAGGAACCAGUAUCUGAAUGAUAACAGACUUACAACUUGAAGGAUGUGGAAGAAGCUAGAGGCAAACCCUGAGCAGGUCUAUAGGGGAUUUCCAGGAAAAAUUAAGAAGCCAGCUUCUGCCGGUCCAACAUAGACUGAAGACCAACGGCUCUCCAGAAAUCUUUCAAGCCUUCAACACCUGUUGAAGCAUCCAGCUUCAUGGAUGGGGAGUCAUCUCAUCUCAAUCUCUCCUGUGUGACACAGCCACUGUUGGACAAACCUGUUGGCUGUAAGCCCUUCUACUGAACCUCCUCCUCCUUUAAAAAUAAUAUAGUCUGUCAGUUCUGAUCCUUUUGAA